rfam:Heterocephalus glaber contig153367, whole genome shotgun sequence.
GCAGCUCAGGGCAGAGCACUUGCUUAGCAUGCAUGAGGUCAGGGGUUCAAUCCCCAUUGCA